GUCCAUUUUCAGCUGGAAAGAUACUGGUCAACUGAGCUUGGAAAAGGUUUUUAUUGUUUAGCAAUUAAUAGAUUAACACCAACAAAGAAUGGUUCUAUUCUUGUUGAUCAGAAGGUUUACACAACAAACGACAGUGUGAAUUCUUUCGUAAAAACCUGCUACGACCUUGUGAAUGGUAACGGUUCGCUCAUAUUUGGACGAAUUGAAUCCUUAAAAGCAUCAACUGUUAAUAUUUCGAAAUACAAACUGCAUCAAACUACAGUGGCAAUAUCAAACGUCACAGACAUAAAUGAGUUGUGUUCUAUUCGCACUUCAUUGGUACCUUGUUAUUCUAGCCAGGAAUGUGAGAUUUCGAAUGGAAAACCAUCUUGUAUCUUUAAACAGAACCAGCAGAAAUCUGCAUCAGAAGUUUCAGACAAUAGUGGUGCAAUUGUUGGAGGGGUUUUCGGUGGAAUAUGUGCGUUGGUUGGUGGAUUCCUCGCAGGCAUUUUUAUUAGAAGACAGAAAAACAGGUAUCAGAAAAUAUAUUGUUAGAAG